rnacentral:rRNA from 1 species
GAUUAACGCUAGCGGCAGGCCUAAUACAUGCAAGUCGAACGGUAACAUGGGUAGCAAUAUCUGAUGACGAGUGGCGCACGGGUGCGUAACGCGUAUGUAAUCUACCUCUAACUGGGGGAUAGCCUUCCGAAAGGAAGAUUAAUACCGCAUAAUAUAAUGAAGAGGCAUCUUUUUGUUAUCAAAACUCUGGUGGUUAGAGAUGAACAUGCGUGACAUUAGCUAGUUGGUGAAGUAAUAGCUCACCAAGGCUACGAUGUCUAGGGGGUCUGAGAGGAUGAUCCCCCACACUGGUACUGAGACACGGACCAGACUCCUACGGGAGGCAGCAGUAAGGAAUAUUGGACAAUGGGGGCAACCCUGAUCCAGCCAUGCCGCGUGAAGGAUUAAGGCCCUAUGGGUUGUAAACUUCUUUUAUAAGGGAAAAAACCUCUCUACGUGUAGAGAGUUGAUGGUACUUUAUGAAUAAGGGUCGGCUAACUUCGUGCCAGCAGCC